rnacentral:rRNA from 1 species
AUUGAACGCUGGCGGCAGGCCUAACACAUGCAAGUCGAGCGGAGCGGCGGAAGGGUGAGUAAUGCCUAGGAAUCUGCCUGUUCGUGAGGGAUAACGUCCGGAAACGGGAGCUAAUACCGCAUACUAUCAGAUGAACCUAGGUCGGAUUAGCUAGUUGGUGGGGUAAAGGCCGACCAAGGCGACGAUCCGUAACUGGUCUGAGAGGGUGAGCAGUCACACUGGAACUGAGAAACGGUCCAGACUCCUACGGGAGGCAGCAGUGGGGAAUAUUGGACAAUGGGCGAAAGCCUGAUCCAGCCAUGCCGCGUGUGUGAAGAAGGUCUUCGGAUUGUAAAGCACUUUAAGUUGGGAGGCGUUACCAACAGAAGAAGCACCGGCUAACUCCGUGCCAGCAGCCGCGGUAAUAC